UACGUAGGGUGCGAGCGUUAAUCGGAAUUACUGGGCGUAAAGCGUGCGCAGGCGGUUCGUUAAGUCAGUUGUGAAAUCCCCGGGCUCAACCCGGGAACUGCUUCUGAUACUGGCGUGCUUGAGGCCAGUAGGGGUCACUAGAACUGACGGUGGAGCGGUGAAAUGCGUAGAUAUCGUCAGGAAUGCCGGUGGUGAAGACGGGUGACUGGGCUGGUUCUGACACUGAGGCACGAAAGCGUGGGGAGCGAACGGGG
rnacentral:rRNA from 1 species